rnacentral:rRNA from 1 species
AACGAACGCUGGCGGCGCGUCUUAAGCAUGCAAGUCGAAUGGCAAGGGAGUGCUUGCACUCCCCUAGAAUGGCGGACUGGUGAGUAACACGUGGGUGACAUACCCUUAGGACGGGGAUAGCUUCUAGAAAUAGAAGAUAAUACCGGAUACGACCACUACAGCUAGAGUGUAGUGAGGAAAGGGGCUACGGCCCCGCCUGAGGAAUGGCCCGCGGCCCAUUAGCUAGUUGGUGAGGUAAAGGCCCACCAAGGCGAUGAUGGGUAUCCGGCCUAAGAGGGUGAACGGACACAUUGGGACUGAGAUACGGCCCAGACUCCUACGGGAGGCAGCAGCUAAGAAUAUUCCGCAAUGGACGAAAGUCUGACGGAGCGACGCCGCGUGGAUGAUGAAGGCCGUGAGGUUGUAAAGUCCUUUUGAACCUGACGAAUAAGCGUGGGAGGGAAUGCCUGCGUGGUGACGGUAGGGUUUGAAUAAGC